rfam:Stegodyphus mimosarum contig18811, whole genome shotgun sequence.
UUGAGAUAAAUGAUGCUGUGUUCUAAAACUUUAAAAGUGGAACAUGGCUGAUGCUUUCUCAA